AACUUUGUAAAAACAAGGUUUCACACAUUGACUAGACGAAGAAUCGAUUGAUAGUUUUUACAUGUUUUGGACACCACUAUUGGCAAGAAUUGAAGGGGGUGGGUCGCACCACCAAUAGUGUUCGAGUCCUUCUGUCAAUUGAAACAUUAAAUAAAGUUUGAAUUACGUGUAACUAACCUUGAACUUCCCUUUCUUUCUAAUAAAUAUUUCAAAAAUAUCAUUUAAC
rnacentral:lncRNA from 1 species